CCUACGGGAGGCAGCAGUGGGGAAUAUUGCACAAUGGGCGCAAGCCUGAUGCAGCAACGCCGCGUGGGGGACGACGGCCUUCGGGUUGUAAACCUCUUUUAGCAGGGAAGAAGCGCAAGUGACGGUACCUGCAGAAAAAGCACCGGCUAACUACGUGCCAGCAGCCGCGGUAAU
rnacentral:rRNA from 1 species